rnacentral:rRNA from 1 species
AUGCUUUUGCAAUCAUUCUUGUUUUUGAGUAAUCUAAGUUUGAUAAAUCAUUUCUUUUAUAUACAGUCGUGGCCAGAAAUAUCUAAGUUCCAGAAUAAGCCUUUUCCCCUCUAUGAUAAGCCUGGUGAUCUCUAUGAUGGACACAUAGAAGAAGGUAACUUCAAUUUCACAUCAACUGAAGCUACACAAGUGAGUGAUGGUGAUCAUGAAGUGGAAAGAGAGGAUAAUGCCUUCUCUUUUGACCUGAAUCAAUAUGGUGAUGAUUUACACAUGUAUGAUGAUCCUAGAGAUGUCGCCCCAAGUGAUGGUCCAAGAGAUGCUGCCCCAAGUGAUGGUCCAAGAGAUGCUGCCCCAAGUGAUGCUACUCAAGUAGGUCCUCCUAGUAGUUCAAAUAAUAAGCUAGUGAAGGAGACUAAGAAGAAGAAACGUGAUGAUCCAAUGGUGGAAGUGAUGGCACAAUAUGUGGAGAUCAAGCAGAAGCAAGCAGAGCAGGAGUCUGCUCUGUUGGCCGGGUCAAAAAAUGCCCAAGAAUUCUCCAUCAGUUCUGCUGCAGAAGAUGAAGAGAGUGAUGUUUUGUUUCUUCGGAGUGAAAUGGCAGAGUUGCCUCAACGUAUCUAA